GGCUCUGUGGUGAAAUUCAUGAUGGGUUGCAAGCCCAUAGAUGUACACUAGAGGUGUACCAGGGUCU
rnacentral:tRNA from 1 species